rnacentral:rRNA from 1 species
AGAGCCUGAACCAGCCAAGUCGCGUGAAGGAAGACAGUCCUAAGGAUUGUAAACUUCUUUUAUACGGGAAUAACGGGCGAUACGAGUAUUGCAUUGAAUGUACCGUAAGAAUAAGCAUCGGCUAACUCCGUGCCAGCAGCCGCGGUAAUACGGAGGAUGCGAGCGUUAUCCGGAUUUAUUGGGUUUAAAGGGUGCGUAGGUUGUUCGGUAAGUCAGCGGUGAAACCUGAGCGCUCAACGUUCAGCCUGCCGUUGAAACUGCCGGGCUUGAGUUCAGUGGCGGCAGGCGGAAUUCGUGGUGUAGCGGUGAAAUGCAUAGAUAUCACGAGGAACUCCGAUUGCGAAGGCAGCUUGCCAUACUGCGACUGACACUGAAGCACGAAGGCGUGGGUAUCAAACAGGAUUAGAUACCCUGGUAGUCCACGCAGUAAACGAUGAUUACUAGGAGUUUGCGAUAUACCGUCAAGCUUCCACAGCGAAGCGUUAAGUAAUCCACCUGGGGAGUACGCCGGCAACGGUGA